rnacentral:lncRNA from 1 species
ACGGUAUGGCUAACAUAUAUAAAUGUUGAUACUAAAUUACAGAAAGGGUGGAUGUGUAGUUCCUGAGAAAAAUGUGACGAAAGUUUCAUGGGACGGACUGACUGACGGACGGACUGAUGGACGGACUGACGGACUGAUGGACGGACGGACAGACAGAGGUAAAACAGUAUACCCCCCCUUUUUUAAAGCGGGGUUAUAAUAAAUUUCAUAUUUCAAGACACUAUACGUAUAUUGUUUUUAUACUGAAAUCGAUAAAAAAAAAUAUGUAACAAAUAUUGUUAAAAAAAGUGUUUGGAAUUUCUCUCUUGGGGUACAAUUUUGGGGUAUUUCCCUAUGAGCGUAGUCUAGGCGGUAAGACAUUGACAAUUUAAGGAAUUAGAAAGGGAAAAUGAACUUAAUUAAUAAUAUUUAAUAAACAUGGUAUAUAAAUUACCAAUUUGAAGACAUACCAAGUUUAAAUUCAUAAAAGUUUGACCAUUGUUACUACACUUUGUCAUGGUUGUGACGUGACGUUGUUGAUGAAAUACAGUAGUUUCGGUAAGU